rnacentral:lncRNA from 1 species
CACAUAAACUAUCAGUAUAUAAACAUAUAGCGUACAUGUUCAUAUAAGUAUUAUAUAUUUAUACAUAAGUAUACGACUUAUGUGUAGGACUACUAUUGAUAGAAUUGACUUCUGCCUUUACAGUCACUGAUUUAUGGCCAAGUAGCUAAAACUGCUUAAUGUUUAAUACAUUUGUACAUGCUAUAAAACGCUUCUUAAUAAUUUAGCAAAUAAAGAGAACUUACAAACCUAUUAUACUUUCCCUUCUUUCUCAGCAUGAAUAUCCUGUCUCUGAUAUGAAUGACUUACUUCUCAAAACAGGUAUAUUCUUAAAGAGAUCUAGGCAAUUAAAAUGCUUUUUUAAAAUUUUAUUUAUUUUUAAUUUAUUUUCUUUGUCUUUUUGCCUUUUAUAGGGCCGCUUCUGAGGCAUGUGGAGGUUCCCAGGCUAGGGGUCCAAUUGGAGCUGUAGCCGCCAGCCUACACCACAGCCACAGCUACUCGGGAUCAGAGCCGCGUCUGCAACCUACACCACAGCUCAUGGCAAUGCUGGAUCCUUAACCCACUGAGCAAGGCCAGGGACCGAACUCGCAACCUCAUGGUUCCUAGUCAGAUUCGUUAACCACUGAGCCACGAUGGGAACUCCAAAUUAAAAUGUUUUUUUUAAAAAAACCCCACACAUGUAAAAAAAACACUAGGGAAAAUUAACUAUUUAAGUUUGCUAUAGAUUGAAUAAUUUGGAAAAGCAAAUAAUCCCUCCUUUAUUUGUUCAUUUUACAGUUCAGAUUUUAGACGUCAUAGGGAGACUAAAGCAAGGCUCACAUGUAUACUUUGCUGAUGGUCUCGGAGGUGGUGCUCAUGAUGGGGGAGGUGCUGAUGGAGAUGUUGAGAGGCGGUGAUGAAGACAGGGAAACCAAGUGGUUAAAUGACUUCUUUGGAUGAGUUCAGAAGAGGCACCUGAGCCAAGGAUCCAAGUCAGGGACACUAGGCUUCUGCACCCAGCUGGGGCCGUUCAGACUGAUACAGAUGUGAAGAUGGCGGACUUUUCUGAGUGACUUAUCAGAAGGAUGGCGGGAUGGCUUUCAGCCAGCCGUUGAACUCACUCUGGAUGGUUGUCAAGGAUGAAAGUUCUAUUGGCAGAUCUCUCCCAUGAAAUGUGUGUGUCUGUGUUUUAUUUAUUUAUUUUUAACUUUUUCGCUCACCUGACUCCUCACUGGUUUGGUUGAUCUGUAUCAUGGCGUUUAUCUGCUUGUCUCUGGAGUGUUAGACCACGUAGGGGUAAAGAUGUGGGCACCAUGCCAGGACCCAAACUUGUGAGUGUGCCAGCCAAAACCAAUUUCUGACUCACCAGGAAAUGACGUGCUAGGAGCUCUUAAGAUGCCAGUGUAUUUUUCUAGGGCAAUGCCUUGACCAAAUGACCUUGCACAUCUGCCUCCUUCCCAUCUCCAUGUUCCCAACCUGUGGUCACUCCAUUAAUUGGGAUGAAUAAAAUAUCCUCUCAAGUUAAUCUCC